rnacentral:siRNA from 1 species
GGAUUUGCUCUAGCGCCUCAGACC